rnacentral:lncRNA from 1 species
AUAAUCUAUUUCUUUUAUCAGUUUUAAUCUCUCAAUUCCUCUCCUCUCUCAAGAGUAAAAUGGAGAAUAGACUUUCUUUCAAGAUCAAGAAUCAAUCUCGUAAGUCCAAGAUUUCCAAAGAACAAAUCAAGAUUCGAGUUUUACUCUUCAAACCUUGUAUUCUAAGGUACGUGGAAUUUUUCUAAAUCUACAUGGGUAUGGUAUAUUCUUAUUAAUCAUGUUAAAGGUUUAGAAAUUAUGAAUUUACAAAAAGGAGGUUUUGAAUUUAUAAUUAGAUUCAUGCUUUUAAAGUUUUUGAUGAUAUUAAUUUGGUCUUGAGGCCUUUCCCCCAAACCAGAUUUAUAACCAUGUUUAACUAGAUAUAUGUAUGAGUUUGAUGAGUUUGAAUUAUGAAUUGAGAGCAUGAACUAUUUAAAAUAUCUCUCUUAUUUACAAGUCUCUUAACUUCGUAAGAUAUGAUGUGUUCGAAAUGUGAUAUUGAAAAUAUAAUUCAAUAUAAAAGUCUUGACUUUGUUUAUUACUUGAUUAUAAUUUUUGAAUUGAAGAGAGAGAGUUUUACAUGUUGGUAAGUGCUGAAAAUAUAUAUAUAUAUAUAUAUAUAUGUAUGUAUGAAAAGAAAUUUCAUGGGUUGUUGAAACUCAUGACCACCACAUGUUUGUUGGAAUGAUUGAAAAGAAUGACCUUUGCAUAAUCUGAUAAAUAUUAUUGAAGAAUGAAUCUUUCGGAAUUGUUUGAAGUAUGGUGGUCUAUCCUUUUUAUUUUGAAAUAGAAAACUGUAAAGGAUAUUUUAUGGCUCAGAAUUAUGACUUGCAAGUCUUGGUAUGAUGAUACCAAAUCAGAUAAAGUCAUGAUAAAACUCAGAACAGGAUACAGAUUUCAUUUUAGAUUUCAAAUUUUGAAUUCAAAAAGAUGCAUGUUUAGAAUGGGUUAAAAAAUGGUCACUAAGGGGUCGUUUGGUAUAGCGUAUAAGAUAAUACUGAAUAGGUUGUAUUAGUAAUGCUGGGAUUAGUAGUGCAGGGAUUAGUACUACUAGGAAUAGUAGUACUAGGAUUAUUUUUUAUGCAGUGUUUGGUUUAAUGUAUUGAAAACAAUAUGUAUUGUUAUAUUUUAAAAAGAAUAUUUGUUUGUUUACAAAAAUACCCUCAACAUAUUAUAACUUUGUGUAUUUUCUUUGCAAAACUUUAUCAUUCUUUUUGUUUAAAUAAAAAAAUGAACAAUAUAACUAAUUAUUUACUUUGAAAUAAUUUUAAGAUUUAAUCAUUCACUUGCAAUUUUUUUUUGGGGUUUAUCUUUUCUUUAUUUGUUUAUCAUUUGCUUGUUGUUCCCAUUUUGUGGUGUUUUUAAGUUGGAGGGGGUACGUGUAACUUUUGAAUGAGACAAUAGAAUUAUUAUUAACAUAAAGUUGUGUUCGUUAGAGUGUUAAAGCUAUGUAGAAAAAUUAUUUUUAUUUAUGAAUAUCCUAUUUACAAAAUUAAAGCUAGUAUGCAAUCAUGCAAUUUAUUUUCGGAUUUUCAUCAAUAAGUAUUUUUUAAAGUUAAUGGAGAAGUUUUUGUAUGAAUAAAAUUAUUUGGAGGGAUAUUAUUAUCUUGAUAAAUUGAAAAGAAGUAACUCACAUUGAAUAAAUUGAAAAAGAUUUAGAAAAAAAUUAAUGAAAUUUGAGGCAUUAAUAAUAAUAAAAUUUGUAAACUAAUUUAUUUAAAUAAAUUCAUCAGUACAAAUAUAAAAAAUAAAACUAAGAAAAUAAAAAAAAUAUUUAAAAGAAUUUGAGCGAUAUUUUUGUCUUUACACAUAUUAGUCCAUGGUAUUAAAACUCAUGUAUUGCUAAUACCGCCAUAUGGGAUGUAUUAGUAAUACACCCUAUAACCAUAUAGGGUGUAUAACUAAUACAUGGUAUUAGUAAUACAUAGGUCCAUAAUUCUACAAAACAUAGUAUUAAGUAAUACCACACUUAAUACAUGGACUAUUUUUUUUAAUACGUCCUACCAAACGACCCCUAAGAGAGUUAGGUGGUUACCCGAAGAAGGAACGAGUCAUAUACUUCAUUUCCCAAAACCGUAUUUUACCGAUACGGGUAUAUUAUCAUACGCUGGCCCAGUCCCUCGGGCGUAUCAGAUUCAAAUAAUUUAACCCUUGCGGCAAACUUGGGUUGUUGGCUUGGCCGCCGAGUUAAUGGCGGAUCCCAUAUUACUCGUGGGGAACUUUUAGAUAUGUAGGGCGUACCAUUUACCUCAGAAGUAAAAAAUAAAGAAUGUUUUUACAUCUACCGAUUUGCAUUGAAUGAUUAUUUUAAGUUGCCCAUGUGUUUUAAAUUAUUUCUUGCUUAACAUUUUAAUGAAAUGCUCUCACCUAUGUAGUAUAUAAAAGUACAUUAUUUUGAAUUUCUCUGCGUACAAGUAUAUCUGUAUUGACCCCCCCUCCGUCUCAGGAUCUGAGGCACAUUCUCGGGGUCCAGUUCAGCAAUAGAUUUGAGUGCGUCGGAAGAUUCAAUUGGGGAGCCUCCCUUACUUCGGAAGGCUUGUAUUAGAACUUGUUAUUGUUAUUUCAUUUUGAUUCAUGGCCCUGCUGGGGGCUUAUCAAAGAUUUCAGACAAAUGUCAUUUUUAGUUGUUAGAGAUUUCGCAGACUGAUGUUAGACGUUGUUUAGAGGUUUAUGUUUUUCAUUCCAGAUUGUUCGAUUGAAUUAUGAUAUCGACCAUGAUUCUGUUUUUUUUUUUAUUGUAUUUCGGCAGUUCCUCUUUGUAAAUGAAUGGUGUAUAUGAUUGCAAGUUAGAAGGGCUCUCGGGCCUUCAUGGUUUGGGAUCCCCGUCACGGCCAGGGCCCCGGUUCGGGUCGUGACAGUUCCUUAUCUAGAGUUUGACGAACCUUUUGUAGGAUGUGAAAUCAUGUUAUGUUUUUAUAUAAUUGAGUCAUUCUAUUUACUUCUAUUUGCUUAACUUAACUACACAAUGAUUGUAGUUAAUUGAUGAAUGGCCAACGAUUGACCGUAGAGUGAUUUUGAAUUGUUUUUUAGACUUUUGGAAAGUCUUUUUCAAAUAUAAUUUUAUACCCCAAUUUUUAAAAACUAUCAAAAUCACCUAUAUCAUUGAAUGAACCAUAUAACAAAACCUCAUUCUUAUCAACAUUAUUGAGAUUUAGAAGUAACAAGCUUGAUGCAAUUUAAGUGAAUAGAUUGAUAGGUUAGCUAGGGUUAAUUCGAGAGAAUAACACUAGGAAAUUACUACACUUAUUAGUCGAGAGAUAUCACUUAACCUUUUUAGGGUGAGCUAUUGAUGUGAU